UCCACGCUGUAAACGAUGAAUACUAGGUGUUAGAGGAUUCGACCCCUCUAGUGCCGAAGCUAACGCAUUAAGUAUUCCGCCUGGGAAGUACGAUCGCAAGAUUAAAACUCAAAGGAAUAGACGGGGACCCACACAAGCGGUGGAGCAUCUGGUUUAAUUCGAUAAUAAGCGAGGAACCUCACCUAGGCUUGACAUCCCAAGAAUCCCUUGGAAACAGGGGAGUGCCUCACGGA
rnacentral:rRNA from 1 species